UAAAACAUCCAUCCCGUGACCGUGGCUACGUUCAGCGACCGAUUGUCACCUCGAACCCAAUCUCGCUUAUUACAAAUCUUAAGCAAUUACAACUAUAAUAAAAUCUAGGCUAAGGUACUAGAGGAUGUUCCCAAAAUUUCCAAGGAAAGGCUUCGGCUUUCCUUUCAUCUCCGACAUAUAUAUAUAUAUAUAUAUAUAUAUAAAUUAUAUUUAAGAAGUUUGGGAUAGUUUAAAGAUGAAAUAAAUUGCUUUUUAAGUUUAAUCUCUUACUCUCGACGAAAUCAAGUUUCUCUGGAAUUUGGUGGAGUUUAAGAUUUGAUAUCGGUGUCGUAGGAGUUAUGUGACACUUUAAGGUGGAAUAAAUCUAGCGAGGAGUUUAAGGUGCGGCAAAGGAGCGUGGAAUGUUGCAAUAGAAAUUUAUUGCAGUGUUAGUGCAUUGGUAGAUUGAUCAAAUUUACGUGUAGCGUGGGUAACCAAUGCUAAACCUUACGACGAAAAAUUAACGAAGUGGAAUAAAAAUGGCAUUGUGAUUCUUCUCGUCGUGUAUCGGUGUCACAUCAAAUUUAAGAGACAGUUUUACUUGCGGAUGCUGCGUGUUACGUUGGUGAAGUCGACGAAAGCGUAAAAUAGGAGCUCGUCCGAAAUACACUAACGCGGAAGGUUAAAUUUAACGCAAAAGGCCGAGAAAUUAGUCUAGAACUCGAAGUUUCAUUGGUACGACGCACUUGAAACGCAUUCAAAGAGGUCGGCGACCUCGAAAGGGGAUGAACGCAACUGUUUCGUGGGAAUUUCUUAUUGUGGCUUAUUUGGAUGAAGCUGCUUUAAAAUCAGCGCUGGAUUCGUCUGUUUUUUGCCCGGAAAUCAUAAAAUGUUUAGGCCAGGCGACUCCAUGUACAGAAAAUGUUAUGUCCACUUUUUACGUCCGUAGAAUUCAACUCUUUACUACUAUGCACUUCUUCUCCAAAAAAAUAUCGCGUUUCAAUAUUAAAAAAAGUUUCAAUAAUAUACUAUCCAUUAGAAGAAUGAUAACAUGAUAACCUUACAAAUUAUUAGUAUUAACAAAUUCUUAUUGUCGUAUAGAAAUGCCAACUAUUGCUUCGGUAAAACAAACAAAGGAAUUUUACAGAUGCAGGAAUCUUAGCCUCAUGAGAAAUUAGAGAU